GACGAACGCUGGCGGCGUGCUUAACACAUGCAAGUCGAACGGAAAGGCCCUGCUUUUGUGGGGUGCUCGAGUGGCGAACGGGUGAGUAACACGUGAGUAACCUGCCCUUGACUUUGGGAUAACUUCAGGAAACUGGGGCUAAUACCGGAUAGGAGCUCCUGCUGCAUGGUGGGGGUUGGAAAGUUUCGGCGGUUGGGGAUGGACUCGCGGCUUAUCAGCUUGUUGGGGGGGUAGUGGCUUACCAAGGCUUUGACGGGUAGCCGGCCUGAGAGGGUGACCGGCCACAUUGGGACUGAGAUACGGCCCAGACUCCUACGGGAGGCAGCAGUGGGGAAUAUUGCACAAUGGGCGGAAGCCUGAUGCAGCAACGCCGCGUGCGGGAUGACGGCCUUCGGGUUGUAAACCGCUUUCGCCUGUGACGAAGCGUGAGUGACGGUAAUGGGUAAAGAAGCACCGGCUAACUACGUGC
rnacentral:rRNA from 1 species